GACGAACGCUGGCGGCGUGCCUAACACAUGCAAGUCGAGCGGAGUCGAUCGACGGAAGCCUUCGGGCGGAAGAUGGUUGACUUAGCGGCGGAUGGGUGAGUAACGCGUGGGCAACCUGCCUCGAAGACCGGGAUAACAGCCCGAAAGGGCUGCUAAUACCGGAUGUGGUCAAGGAUCCGCAUGGAUUUUUGAUUAAAAGGGGAAACCCGUUUCGAGAUGGGCCCGCGUCCUAUCAGCUAGUUGGUGAGGUAAAAGCUCACCAAGGCGACGACGGGUAGCCGGCCUGAGAGGGUGACCGGCCACACUGGAACUGAGACACGGUCCAGACUCCUACGGGGGCAGCAGUGGGGAAUCUUCCACAAUGGGCGAAAGCCUGAUGGAGCGACGCCGCGUGAGCGAAGAAGGCCUUCGGGUGUAAGCACUUUUCGGGAGGAAGAGGAAGGACUGUACUCCCAGAAUAAGCCUACGGCUAACUACGUGCCAGCAGCCGCGGUAAGAUCACGUGUA
rnacentral:rRNA from 1 species